GAUGAACGCUAGCGGGAGGCUUAACACAUGCAAGUCGAGGGGCAUCACGAGGUAGCAAUACUUUGGUGGCGACCGGCGCACGGGUGAGUAACACGUAUGCAACCUUCCCUGUACAGGGGGAUAACCCGGAGAAAUUCGGACUAAUACCCCAUGAUGAUAUUAUGGGGCAUCCUUUAAUAUUUAAAGCUCUGGCGGUACAGGAUGGGCAUGCGCGACAUUAGCUAGUUGGUAAGGUAACGGCUUACCAAGGCGACGAUGUUUAGGGGACCUGAGAGGGUUGUCCCCCACACUGGUACUGAGACACGGACCAGACUCCUACGGGAGGCAGCAGUGAGGAAUAUUGGUCAAUGGGCGCAAGCCUGAACCAGCCCAUCCCGCGUGAAGGAGAAUGCGCUAACGCGUUGUAAACUUCUUUUCCAGGGGUAGAAUAAUCCUGUCGUGACAGGGACCUUGACGGUUACUCUGGGAAUUAAGCAAUCGGCUAACUCCGUGCCCAGGCAGCCGCGGUAAA
rnacentral:rRNA from 1 species